rnacentral:rRNA from 1 species
GAUGGACGCUGGCGGCGUGCUUAACACAUGCAAGUCGAACGAAGCACUUUGGACAGAUUCUUCGGAUGAAGUCCUUAGUGACUGAGUGGCGGACGGGUGAGUAACGCGUGGGUAACCUGCCUCAUACAGGGGGAUAACAGUUAGAAAUGGCUGCUAAUACCGCAUAAGCGCACGGUACCGCAUGGUACAGUGUGAAAAACUCCGGUGGUAUGAGAUGGACCCGCGUUGGAUUAGCUAGUUGGCAGGGUAACGGCCUACCAAGGCGACGAUCCAUAGCCGGCCUGAGAGGGUGGACGGCCACAUUGGGACUGAGACACGGCCCAGACUCCUACGGGAGGCAGCAGUGGGGAAUAUUGCACAAUGGGGGAAACCCUGAUGCAGCGACGCCGCGUGAGCGAAGAAGUAUUUCGGUAUGUAAAGCUCUAUCAGCAGGGAAGAAAAUGACGGUACCUGACUAAGAAGCCCCGGCUAACUACGUGCCAGCAGCCGCCGUAAAAC